AAUAGCUAUGACUGCCACUGAGGGUUGUUACACGAGCAAGUUAGAGAACAGAAGAACGAGGAGCCCUUGAACAUGAACAGCUCUCCAUCUAGCCCUGAGGCCGACACCCUAAACUUCUGGGACCCCAGGAAUGUGGGAUUCAGAGAGGCCAGUUCGGCUGGAGACAGUUCCACACCAAGGAUGCUUUUCCCAAGGACACAGUCCCUAUCUUCUAGGUGCCUGGACUCCACACGUGCCGAGUGCUCCUGAAAUGAAGUUCUAGAACCUACAGCCACUGGACAGGUCUCUAGUGGAAAAGCAAUGCCUGUGAGUUUGCUUGGGCUGGCCUUGAACUCACUAUAUAGUUAAGUAUGAUCAUGAACCUCUCAUCCUCCUGCCUCAGGCUCCUGAGUGUUGGGAUAACUGGUGUGUUUCCUAAAAGCAAGACUAUUUCUUUACAGACUCCGGCAUACGUUCAGAGCAUGAAACUUGACCCUGAUUGCAUCCUGUUACUUGACUUGUAAACCUCACUCUGUUUGUGCCUGCCCAUCAAUGCCUUCUUAGUAAAGGAAAACCCUAGCACCAUGGCUGCCUCUCUCAGGCCCCUCUGAGAGGAGGCUGCCCCUGAGUCUUUGUAUUUUGUCUUUCAAGAAACACAUGUUGGAUGCUUUGUAAAAUGUCAAAGAUCCCAUUGAAAAUAAAUUUAUUUUUAUUUUA
rnacentral:lncRNA from 1 species